ACGCGGCUUAACACAUGCAAGUCGAGGGGUAACAGAGGAGCUUGCUCUUGCUGACGACCGGCGCACGGGUGCGUAACGCGUAUACAAUCUGCCUUACACUAAGGGAUAGCCCAGAGAAAUUUGGAUUAACACCUUAUAGUUUAUUUUUAUGGCAUCAUUUAAAUAAUAAAGUUUACGGUGUAAGAUGAGUAUGCGUCCCAUUAGUUUGUUGGUAAGGUAACGGCUUACCAAGACUACGAUGGGUAGGGGCCCUGAGAGGGGGAUCCCCCACACUGGUACUGAGACACGGACCAGACUCCUACGGGAGGCAGCAGUGAGGAAUAUUGGACAAUGGAGGAGACUCUGAUCCAGCCAUGCCGCGUGCAGGAAGACGGUCCUAUGGAUUGUAAACUGCUUUUAUACAGGAAGAAUAAGGACUACGUGUAGUCUGGUGACGGUACUGUAAGAAUAAGGACCGGCUAACUCCGUGCCAGCAGCCGCGGUAAUACGGAGGGUCCGAGCGUUAUCCGGAAUUAUUGGGUUUAAAGGGUCCGUAGGCGGGCUGUUAAGUCAGGGGUGAAAGUUUGCAGCUCAACUGUAGAAUUGCCUUUGAUACUGAUGGUCUUGAAUUAUUGUGAAGUGGUUAGAAUAUGUAGUGUAGCGGUGAAAUGCAUAGAUAUUACAUAGAAUACCGAUUGCGAAGGCAGAUCACUAACAAUUGAUUGACGCUGAUGGACGAAAGCGUGGGUAGCGAACAGGAUUAGAUACCCUGGUAGUCCACGCCGUAAACGAUGGAUACUAGCUGUUUGGAUUUCGAUCUGAGCGGCCAAGCGAAAGUGAUAAGUAUCCCACCUGGGGAGUACGUUCGCAAGAAUGAAACUCAAAGGAAUUGACGGGGGCCCGCACAAGCGGUGGAGCAUGUGGUUUAAUUCGAUGAUACGCGAGGAACCUUACCAGGGCUUAAAUGUAGAUUGACAGGUUUAGAGAUAGACUUUCCUUCGGGCAAUUUACAAGGUGCUGCAUGGUUGUCGU
rnacentral:rRNA from 1 species